rnacentral:rRNA from 1 species
CGCAAUGGGCGAAAGUCUGACGGAGCGACGCCGCGUGAUUGAUGAAGCUUUUCGGAGUGUAAAGAUCUUUUAUGAGGGAAGAAGUUUAUUGACGGUACCUCAUGAAUAAGGGGCUCCUAAUCUCGUGCCAGCAGGAGCGGUAAUACGAGAGCCCCGAGCGUUAUCCGGAAUUAUUGGGCGUAAAGGGUGCGUAGGUUGUUUUGUUAGUCGUUUGUCAAAUCUCUGGGCUUAACCCAGAAACCGCGAACGAAACGGCAAAACUAGAAAGUGUGAGGGGUGUACAGAACUCAUGGUGUAGGGGUGAAAUCCGUUGAUAUCAUGGGGAAUACCAAAAGCGAAGGCAGUACACUGGCACAUAUUUGACACUCAAGCACGAAAGCGU